AGAGUACUGCCGGUGACAAACCGGAGGAAGGUGAGGAUGACGUCAAGUCAUCAUGCCCCUUAAGUUCUGGGCUACACACGUGCUACAACGGUUAACACAAUGAGCUGCAAUUUCGUAAGAAGGAGCUAACCUCAGAAAUUUAAUCCGAGUUCGGAUUGUAAGCUGAAACUCGCUUACAUGAAGCUGGAAUCGCUAGUAAUCGCUGGUCAGCUAUACAGCGGUGAAUACGUUCCCGGGCCUUGUACACACCGCCCGUCACACCACGGAAAUUAGCUACACCCAAAGCUAUUACCUUAACCAGUACUUCUGGAGAGGGGUAUCUAAGGUGGAGUUAAUAACUGGGGUGAAGUCGUAACAAGGUAAGGCUACUGGAAGGUGGCCUUGGAUCACCCUC
rnacentral:rRNA from 1 species